rnacentral:rRNA from 1 species
CCUACGGAGGGCAGCAGUGGGGAAUAUUGCACAAUGGGGGAAACCCUGAUGCAGCGACGCCGCGUGAGCGAUGAAGUAUUUCGGUAUGUAAAGCUCUAUCAGCAGGGAAGAAGAUGACGGUACCUGACUAAGAAUCCCCGGCUAACUCCGUGCCAGCAGCCGAGGUAAGACGUAGGGGGCAAGCGUUAUACGGAUUUACUGGGUGUAAAGGGGGCGUAGACGGCGAUGCAAGUCAGAUGUGAAAGCCCGGGGCUCAACCACGGGACUGCAUUUGGAACUGUGUGGCUGGAGUGUCGGAGAGGCAGGCGGAAUUCCUAGUGUAGCGGUGAAAUGCGUAGAUAUUAGGAGGAACACCAGUGGCGAAGGCGGCCUGCUGGACGAUGACUGACGUUGAGGCUCGAAAGCGUGGGGAGCAAACAGGAUUAGAUACCCUUGUAGUC